AACGAACGCUGGCGGCAGGCUUAACACAUGCAAGUCGAACGAGAUCUUCGGAUCUAGUGGCAGACGGGUGAGGAACACGUGGGAACGUCCCUUUCAGUUCGGAAUAACGUUGGGAAACUAACGCUAAUACCGGAUACGUCCUUCGGGAGAAAGAUUUAUCGCUGAAAGAUUGGCCCGCGUCUGAUUAGCUAGUUGGUGAGGUAAUGGCUCACCAAGGCUCCGAUCAGUAGCUGAUCUGAGAGGAUGAUCAGCCACAUUGGGACUGAGACACGGCCCAAACUCCUACGGGAGGCAGCAGUGGGGAAUAUUGGACAAUGGGCGCAAGCCUGAUCCAGCCAUGCCGCGUGAGUGAUGACGGCCUUCGGGUUGUAAAGCUCUUUUGUCCGGGAAGAUAAUGACUGUACCGGAAGAAUAAGCCCCGGCAAACUUCGUGCCAGCAGCCGCAGUAAUAC
rnacentral:rRNA from 1 species